GAAUGCUGACAUAAGUAACGAUAAAGCGGGUGAAAAGCCCGCUCGCCGGAAGACCAAGGGUUCCUGUCCAACGUUAAUCGGGGCAGGGUGAGUCGACCCCUAAGGCGAGGCCGAAAGGCGUAGUCGAUGGGAAACGGGUUAAUAUUCCCGUACUUGGUGUUACUGCGAAGGGGGGACGGAGAAGGCUAUGUUGGCCGGGCGACGGUUGUCCCGGUUUAAGCGUGUAGGUGUGUGUUCCAGGUAAAUCCGGUUCACUUUAACACUGAGGCGUGACGACGAGGCACUACGGUGCUGAAGCAACAAAUGCCCUGCUUCCAGGAAAAGCCUCUAAGCAUCAGGUAACAUCAAAUCGUACCCCAAACCGACACAGGUGGUCAGGUAGAGAAUACCAAGGCGCUUGAGAGAACUCGGGUGAAGGAACUAGGCAAAAUGGUGCCGUAACUUCGGGAGAAGGCACGCUGAC
rnacentral:rRNA from 1 species